rnacentral:rRNA from 1 species
GACGAACGCUGGCGGCGUGCUUAACACAUGCAAGUCGAACGGAAAGGCUCUGUUUUUGCGGGGUGCGCGAGUGGCGAACGGGUGAGUAACAUGUGAGUAACCUGUCCUUGACUUUGGGGUAUCUUCAGGAGAAUGGGGGUAUUAUCGGAUAGGAGCCCCUGCUGCACGGGGGGGGGUGGAGAGUUUGGGUGGUUGGGGUUGGACUCGCGGACGAUCAGUCUGUUGGUGGGGGGGUGGCUGACCAAGGAUGUGGCGGGUAGCCGGCCGGGGAGGGUGACCGGCCACAUUGGGACUGAGAUACGGCCCAGACUCCUACGGGAGGCAGCAGUGGGGAAUAUUGCACAAUGGGCGGAAGCCUGAUGCAGCAACGCCGCGUGCGGGAUGACGGCCUUCGGGUUGUAAACCGCUUUCACCUGUGACGAAGCGUGAGUGACGGUAAUGGGUAAAGAAGCACCGGCUAACUACGUG